rnacentral:rRNA from 1 species
AGCGAACGCUGGCGGCAUGCCUAACACAUGCAAGUCGAACGAGACCUUCGGGUCUAGUGGCGCACGGGUGCGUAACGCGUGGGAACCUGCCCUUAGGUUCGGAAUAACUCCCCGAAAGGGGUGCUAAUACCGGAUAAUGUCUUCGGACCAAAGAUUUAUCGCCUUUGGAUGGGCCCGCGUUGGAUUAGCUAGUUGGUAGGGUAAAAGCCUACCAAGGCGACGAUCCAUAGCUGGUCUGAGAGGAUGAUCAGCCACACUGGGACUGAGACACGGCCCAGACUCCUACGGGAGGCAGCAGUGGGGAAUAUUGGACAAUGGGCGAAAGCCUGAUCCAGCAAUGCCGCGUGAGUGAUGAAGGCCUUAGGGUUGUAAAGCUCUUUUACCCGGGAUGAUAAUGACAGUACCGGGAGAAUAAGCUCCGGCUAACUCCAUG